AUUGAACGCUGGCGGCAUGCUUUACACAUGCAAGUCGAACGGUAACAGGCCGCAAGGUGCUGACGAGUGGCGCACGGGUGCGUAAUGCAUCGGAACGUGCCCAGUCGUGGGGGAUAACUACUCGAAAGAGUAGCUAAUACCGCAUACGAUCUAUGGAUGAAAGCGGGGGACCGUAAGGCCUCGCGCGAUUGGAGCGGCCGAUGUCAGAUUAGGUAGUUGGUGGGGUAAAGGCUCACCAAGCCAACGAUCUGUAGCUGGUCUGAGAGGACGACCAGCCACACUGGGACUGAGACACGGCCCAGACUCCUACGGGAGGCAGCAGUGGGGAAUUUUGGACAAAGGGCGCAAGCCUGAUCCAGCAAUGCCGCGUGCAGGAAGAAGGCCUUCGGGUUGUAAACUGCUUUUGUACGGAACGAAACGGCUCUGGUUAAUACCCGGGGCUAAUGACGGUACCGUAAGAAUAAGCACCGGCUAACUACGUG
rnacentral:rRNA from 1 species